rnacentral:rRNA from 1 species
GUUAGUGGCAGACGGGUGAGUAAUGCAUAGGGAUCUACCUAGUAGUAUGGGAUAGCCACUAGAAAUGGUGGGUAAUACUGUAUAAUCCCCGCGGGGGAAAGAUUUAUCGCUAUUAGAUGAGCCUAUGUUAGAUUAGCUAGUUGGUGGGGUAAAGGCCUACCAAGGCGAUGAUCUAUAGCUGGUCUGAGAGGAUGAUCAGCCACACUGGAACUGAGAUACGGUCCAGACUCCUACGGGAGGCAGCAGUGGGGAAUAUUGGACAAUGGGCGCAAGCCUGAUCCAGCUAUGCCGCGUGAGUGAGGAAGGCCCUAGG